rnacentral:rRNA from 1 species
CUGGCUCAGGAUGAACGCUGGCGGCGUGCCUAAUACAUGCAAGUCGAGCGAGAAAUCUUUCAGACGAUCUUCGGAUGAGUCAGGGAGAUGGAAAGCGGCGGACGGGUGAGUAACGCGUAGGCAACCUGCCCUCAGCAGAGGGAUAGCCAUUGGAAACGAUGAUUAAAACCUCAUAAUGCUGUAUCAACACAUGUUGGGACAGCCAAAGAUUUAUCGGCUGGGGAUGGGCCUGCGUCUGAUUAACUGGUUGGUGAGGUAACGGCUCACCAAGGUAACGAUCAGUAGCCGACCUGAGAGGGUGAUCGGCCACAUUGGAACUGAGACACGGUCCAAACUUCUACGGAAGGCAGCAGUAAGGAAUCUUGCACAAUGGGGGAAACCCUGAUGCAGCAACGCCGCGUGAACGAUGAAGGCCUUAGGGUUGUAAAGUUCUGAUCUGUGGGAAGAAGAAAGUGACGGUACCACAGGAGAAAGCCCCGGCUAAAUACGUGCCAGCCGCCGC